UCAAUGAAGGAUAGAGUAAAUAAAAUGGUUGGUUGGGCAACUAAGUUCAGCACAAUAAUAAGUAGAGACAGAGUGAAGGGCAUGUGGGGGUCCCACGACAGAAGGGAUCGUGGUAGGGACCACAAGGUUGGUGGUAUCCAUGGUUUUGUUGGACAAGCCGUAUGGUCCUCUUCCGUAUACGGUCUCUGACCACUCUCUCUGCACUCAUGACGCAUCUCGAUGACCCUUCAAUCAAAAUCUCACAUGCACUCUUCUUCUUUCUUCCUCCCAAUUUUUUUCUUGUUUUUUUUUUUGUCUCGCUUCUCCUGGUCUCCUACUUUCAAUAGCUGCAUACAGAUCCCUCAAUCCAUUUUCGACCUGAGUCAGUAAGCAGAGCGCUGACUUGGCACUGCCACUGAAUGGCGUCGUUUUGCUUGUAGGUGAAAAAUGAAAAAAAAAAAAAA